rnacentral:rRNA from 1 species
UACGGGGGGGGCAAGCGUUGUUCGGAAUUACUGGGCGUAAAGGGCUCGUAGGCGGCCAACUAAGUCAGACGUGAAAUCCCUCGGCUUAACCGGGGAACUGCGUCUGAUACUGGAUGGCUCGAGUUUGGGAGAGGGAUGCGGAAUUCCAGGUGUAGCGGUGAAAUGCGUAGAUAUCUGGAGGAACACCUGUGGCGAAAGCGGCGCACUGGACCACAACUGACGCUGAGGCGCGAAAGCUAGGGGAGCAAACAGG